rnacentral:rRNA from 1 species
UACGAGAGGUCCAAACGUUAUUCGGAAUCACCGGGCUUACAGAGUUCGUAGGCGGUCCAGAAAGUGGGGUGUGAAAGCCCUCGGCUCAACCGAGGAACUGCGCUCCAAACUACUGGGCUAGAGGAAGAUAGAGGUGAGCAGAACUGAUGGUGGAGCGGUGAAAUGCGUUGAUAUCAUCAGGAAUACCGGAGGCGAAGGCGGCUCACUGGGUCUUUUCUGACGCUGAGGAACGAAAGCUAGGGGAGCAAACGGG